rnacentral:rRNA from 5 species
AAAUUGAAGAGUUUGAUCAUGGCUCAGAUUGAACGCUGGCGGCAGGCCUAACACAUGCAAGUCGAACGGUAACAGGAAGCAGCUUGCUGCUUCGCUGACGAGUGGCGGACGGGUGAGUAAUGUCUGGGAAACUGCCUGAUGGAGGGGGAUAACUACUGGAAACGGUAGCUAA